GACGAACGCUGGCGGCGUGCUUAACACAUGCAAGUCGAACGGAAAGGCCCUGCUUUUGUGCGGUGCUCGAGUGGGGAACGCGUGAGUACCUCGCGAGUGACUUGCACUUGCCUUUGGGAUAACUUCAGGAUACUGGGGCUAUUACCGGGUAGGAGCUCCUGCUGCAUGGUGGGGGUUGGCACGUUUCGUCGGUUGGGGAUGGACUCGCGGCUUAUCCGAUUGUUGGUGGGGUAGUGGCUUACCAAGGCUUUGACGGGUAGCCGGCCUGGGAGGGUGACCUGCCACGUUGGGACUGAGAUACGGCCCAGACUCCUACGGGAGGCAGCAGUGGAGAAUAUUGCACAAUGGGCGGAAGCCUGAUGCAGCAACGCCGCGUGCGGGAUGACGGCCUUCGGGUUGUAAACCGCUUUCGCCUGUGACGAAACGUGAGUGACGGUAAUGGGUAAAGAAGCACCGGCUAACUACGUG
rnacentral:rRNA from 1 species